rnacentral:rRNA from 1 species
AGCGAACGCUGGCGGCAGGCUUAACACAUGCAAGUCGAGCGCCCCGCAAGGGGAGCGGCAGACGGGUGAGUAACGCGUGGGAACGUACCUUUUGGUUCGGAACAACUCCGGGAAACUGGAGCUAAUACCGGAUAAGCCCUAACGGGGAAAGAUUUAUCGCCGAAAGAUCGGCCCGCGUCUGAUUAGCUAGUUGGUGAGGUAACGGCUCACCAAGGCGACGAUCAGUAGCUGGUCUGAGAGGAUGAUCAGCCACACUGGGACUGAGACACGGCCCAGACUCCUACGGGAGGCAGCAGUGGGGAAUAUUGGACAAUGGGCGCAAGCCUGAUCCAGCCAUGCCGCGUGAGUGAUGAAGGCCUUAGGGUUGUAAAGCUCUUUUGUCCGGGAAGAUAAUGACUGUACCGGAAGAAUAAGCCCCGGCUAACUUCGUG